rnacentral:tRNA from 1 species
CUGUAGUAGCCGUAGGGAACCUGCGGCUGGAUCACCUCCUUAAUCGACGACAUCAGCUGCUCCAUAAGUUCCCACACGAAUUGCUUGAUUCAUUGAAGAAGACGAUAAAGAAGCAGCCCGAAAUUGGGUCUGUAGCUCAGUUGGUUAGAGCGCACCCCUGAUAAGGGUGAGGUCGGCAGUUCGAAUCUGCCCAGACCCACCAAUUUUGUGUGGGAAACGCCUGUAGAAUACGGGGCCAUAGCUCAGCUGGGGAGAGCGCCUGCCUUGCACGCAGGAGGUCAACGGUUCGAUCCCGUUUGGCUCCACCACUACUGCUUCUAUGUUAUGAAAGCUUAGAAAUGAGCAUUCCAUCGUUGUGAUGGUGAAUGUUGAUUUCUAGUCUUUGAUUAGAUCGUUCUUUAAAAAUUUGGGUAUGUGAUAGAAAGAUAGACUGAACGUUACUUUCACUGGUAACGGAUCAGGCUAAGGUAAAAUUUGUGAGUUGCUCUUUAUGAGCAAGAAUCGAAUUUUCGGCGAAUGUCGUCUUCACAGUAUAACCAGAUUGCUUGGGGUUAUAUGGUCAAGUGAAGAAGCCAUAG